GACGAACCGGACAAACGUUAUUCGGAAUUACUGGGCUUAAAGGGUUCGUAGGCGGCCUUGUAAGUGGGGUGUGAAAUCCCUCGGCUCAACCGAGGAACUGCGCUCCAAACUACAAGGCUUGAGGGAGACAGAGGUAAGCGGAACUGAUGGUGGAGCGGUGAAAUGCGUUGAUAUCAUCAGGAACACCGGUGGCGAAAGCGGCUUACUGGGUCUCUUCUGACGCUGAGGAACGAAAGCUAGGGGAGCAAACAGG
rnacentral:rRNA from 1 species